GCGCCUGUGGCGAAAUUGGUAGACGCGCCAGACUUAGGAUCUGGUGCCGAAAGGCGUACAGGUUCGAGUCCUGCCAGGCGCACCA
rnacentral:tRNA from 76 species